rnacentral:rRNA from 1 species
UACGUAGGGGGCUAGCGUUAUCCGGAAUUACUGGGCGUAAAGGGUGCGUAGGUGGUUUCUUAAGUCAGAGGUGAAAGGCUACGGCUCAACCGUAGUAAGCCUUUGAAACUGGUAGACUUGAGUGCAGGAGAGGAGAGUGGAAUUCCAUGUGUAGCGGUGAAAUGCGUAGAUAUAUGGAGGAACACCGGUGGCGAAAGCGGCUCUCUGGCCUGUAACUGACACUGAGGCUCGAAAGCGUGGGGAGCAAACAGG